UACGGAGGUGGCGAGCGUUGUCCGGAAUCACUGGGCGUAAAGGGCGCGUAGGCGGCCUGAUAAGUAGGGGGUAGAAAUCCUGCGGCUUAACCGCAGGGCUGCCUUCUAAACUGUCAGGCUAGAGCACAGUAGAGGCAGGUGGAAUUCCCGGUGUAGCAGUGGAAUGCGUAGAGAUCGGGAAGAACAUCAGUGGCGAAGGCGGCCUGCGUGGGCUGUUGCUGACGCUGAGGCGCGACAGCGGUGGGGAGCAAACAGG
rnacentral:rRNA from 1 species